UUCAAAAACUUUAUUUGUUAUUCGAUUUUGAUUAAAUUUUUAGCAUUUUGCUCUGUAAAUUUUCUUCUAUUUAUUGAGAUAUAAAUAUUUCCAGCCUGGACCAUCCCUUCAAUUUUACUAAUAUUCGAAGACAGGAAACUAAUACUAGAAAAAAAGAUAAAUGAAUGGAAUAUGUAUCACCAAACCCAGACAAACAUUGGAAUAUGUCUUGUUUGCCUCUUGCAUCGAGGCAAAAACUGAAUAUUUGUGUCCAUGUACAUGCAAUAUCUUUUGAUUACACACAUUUAUCCUGAAAGCUCUUUGCAUACAUUAUUUAUUCAAAAUUCAGGUUUAGUAAGAAAAUCAAUUACUUUUCAUUCCAGGUACAAAUUUUUAUUGAUAUAUGGCCAAAAUCAAAGAAGGGUGUUGGUAACCAACAAGUCAGAGGAGACCUCAAAACAGGAGCUGCUUAGGGUGGUGUGCACAACAUUUGGAGUGAAAGAAGAAGAUAUUUUUCCUGCAGACAUGGCAAGACAAAUUCUACGAUUUUGCAGACAUGGAAGAGGACGAACUUGUGACAGGCCCAUUGAGAGUAAAAAUUACAAACUACCUGUGGUCCUCGGUGCACAGCAACUGGUGAAGGGUGGAGAGCACAUAGAGUGGAUGAGCACUGAAAAAAAGGCAGCCAGACUUCAAGAGAGUUGAGUUCUGCAUGCAGAAGACACUGGCAGACAGAAGGGCAUGGAUCAUAAAUUCUGUCCCUCGGCCAAGGAUCACUGAUGACCGACUGAAGUAUCCUUGGCUCUUUGAUGAGGAUCAGGUAAUCUAUGCAGAGUUUUCUCACCAGAUUUUGAAAUAUACUGAAUAUCCCGAGAUUGAUUGAAUGCUGACGGACGUUGAUAGAGUUGCUUACUCAAUGUUUCCCUAUUACAGUGAUUUACAGAAUGUAUUGGAAACUUCUAACUCCACAUGGAUUAUCCAAACUUGCUCAUAAACUUAAUUUAUUCAAGACUGCGUAAGGUGUGAACUUCAUAUGUGGUCCUUGUAUGUAAAAUUCAGGUUAUUUUCUUGUCAAAGCAAUAUCACCUAAACAGCUUGAGGUAUGGAUGUAAAAACUUGGUGUUUAACAUGUACCAUCAUUAGGAAGACGAUUUGAAUGGAUUUUGGAAUAUGUAGGUCAAAGGUCAAUUUGUGAAAUUUAUUUGUUCAAACACAUGGGCCCGUAUUCUGAUAGCAGGUUUAAUUUAACCCUAGUCUAAAGUUAACCCUAGUUUAAUUAAACCUCCUCUAAACCUCACCUCUGGUCCAAGUGUAGUUUAAUUAUUUUGGUAUUCUGAUAGCCGGGUUUAACUAAACCUGGGUUAAACCCGGGUUUAAAAUUCUUUUUGAAAAUAAUAACCCUCUUUUAACCAAGACUAGCACCUUUUUGGUAAAUUACUGCUGCAGGGGUGAUUGCAACAAAGUUGAAAAAAUGGCACUAAAGUCGUUUUUUCUUAAAAUAAUUGAUAUUAUGGAAACUAAUAACAACUAUUGUAGUGAAAGAAAAGCAUUCAUCACCCAUAUAUGGUAAGAAAUUUUCAUUUCAAUUAUAUUUAUUUUUGUUAAUUACUAAAACAUUUCAACCCCAAACCGAGUGACCUGCACAGUUUUUGAGUAUCAGUCCCAUUUAUUUAUUUUCAUGUUUGUCAAAAUCUAAAUUGAAUAGAUUCCCCUCAACCACUCUAGACUAGAGUCUAGACCCUAGUCCUAGAUCUAAAACAAUAAGCUAAGAGGUCGACGUCUUUAUUCUAACUUUAAGUAAGGGAAUUUUUUAUAACUUUUGAGAGUAGUCUUGAGUCUAAAUAGGCCUAUAGUUAGAUCUGGCCUAGGCCCAAUUGUUUGGAGGAGAAUUGAACAUAGUUUUUACUAACUAAGUUAGGCCUAGGCCUAUUUGAUUUUUUUUUUAACUUUCCUGAAGCAAAACAUAGUCUAGUGAGUUAGUGGAGCAACCAAGACUGAAGAUAAAUAUUGGUCUAGGCCUAGAACAGCAUUCAUGACUUAGGCUGGCUUAGCUUAGGGACAGGGAUAGAUUAUAGUACUAUUCUAAAGUAACCUUAGGCAUAGGCUAGAUCUAGUGGAAUGGAUCUGAUUUGUCUUAGACAAAAAGCUUUGAACAGUCUCUGUAUUGGUUGUUCCGCUGAAUUAUGACACUCUACGUUGGCCUCUCUCACCAAGGCAAUGUUAUAUGACAGUAAAAUGUCAGAAUUUUUAAAAUAAAUCCCCAGAAACAACGGUUAUUCCUGUCUACAGACAGUACAGUGUUAGAUCUCAUUAUCGCUGCAUUGCUUGCCAAGUAACUGAGCCUGGCUAAAUUUAGAAUUAGUUCAAGACAUCUCUCUACUCCUGUUUUAGGUCCAUAUCUGUUUCUUUGAAGAGUUUUUUAUUCAAACAUUUUUGGGGACUCGUUUAGGUUUCCAGAUCCAGGACUAGAAAACAGGCCCAAACCUAGACCAACAGCUCAGUCUUGACUAACCCAGGGAGCUCCCUGGGUUAAGUCUUGACUAGACUAGGCCUGGCCUAGAUUUAUGUAAGAAUUUAGAUCUAGGCCUAGGCCUAACGUUAGUCUGUGCUAUAUAUUCAUUCUAGAUUUCUAGCCUAGCCCUAACUGGCUGAUCUAGUCUACUGUAUGAUCUAGAAUCUCUAACGCUGGCCUAGAUCUAGACUAAAUAACUUAGACUAAAAGUUAAACCCUAUCUAGACCUAGAACUAGAUCUAUAUCAAUGUAAUACAUGUAAUAGGUCUAGAUCUAGAGAUUUGUAGACUCUCGACAUGCUCAAUGUAGAUUCUAAAUAAAUAAAAAAGUAAAUGUUGGCUAGUCUCGAGGCUAGUCUACAGUAGAUCUAAUCAUCUAACGUUAGGCCUUAAAAUAAAGUAGGCUGGAGAUCUAACGUUGGAUUAUUUCUAUUACUAGAUCUAAAGGAUCUAGACCUAGAUCUAAAGCUAGGGACUGUAGUGGGACUGUAGUUCGAGAUCUAAAGUUAGAGGUCUAGCAACCCCCUUAAAACUAGUACUAAGCCUACAGCUACAUGUUGUUCUCUGUGUAGCCAAACAACAGUUAGCAUUGUCUUAAUCUUAUUUUGGUUUGUGUAGUUACCGUACAAACACAUAUUUUGAUGAAUGAGAAAAUGUGCCUUGCAGAUUAUUUUAUCAAAACCUCGUGUUCUAAAUUUCAUGAGCAUACAUGUAGGCCUAUGUCAUAAAAUGAAGAAGCAGUUCAAUCCAUUAGAUGUGUUUACACAUUUAUUGAUUUAAUAUGCUGUCACCAUGGCAACACAGUUUCCAACACACACAAAUAUAUGUCUUGCAGAUCUAUACCUCAAAACCAAUGUGUGAGCCAACUUUUAUAAGAAUUAGUUGAAAACUAAUGAAGGAGUUCAGAUUUUCACCUAAUUUCAUUAUGUAAUAUGUUGUUACCAUGGCAACAUGAUUUCUCAUACAUACAAAAAUAUGUCUUGCACAUCUUCAACUUAAGACUAAUGUGUGUGCCAAAUUUUAUGAGCAUUGGCUGAAAAAAGAUGGGAGUUCGAACUACCAAAUUCUCACCUUAUUUUCUUUAUUUGAUAUGUUGUUACCAUGGCAACACGAUUUCUGAUACAGACAAAAAUAUAUCUUGGACAUCUUCAUCUCAACAUUAAUGUAUGUGCCAAAUUUCAUGAGAAUUGGUUAAAAACUGAGGAAGUAGUUGGAACAGCAAGAUUUAUACAUAGUUUUUGCCAUAAUAUACCGUUACCAUGGCAACACAAUUUCCGACACAUGGAAAUAUGUGUCUUGCACAUCUUUACCUCAAAACCAAUGUGUGAGCCAACUUUCUUGAGAAUUGGUAGAAAACUGAUAAAAGUAUUUUAAACGGCAAAAUUUUUGCCAUAAUAUACUGUUUCCAUGGCAACACAAUUUCCAAAAAAGAAAAAAAAAAUUCUUACACCUCCUUACCUUGAGAACAAUGUGUGUUCCAAAUUCCAUGAAAAUCUGUUAAAAACUGAGGAAGUAGCUUGCAAUGCAAUAUAGGCAUACAUUCUAAAAAAAUUGUUGGCCAUGCUUUGUUGGAUUUAAACCAGGCUUAAACUACCCCCAGCGCGAGUUUAACUUUUUGAAGAUUUAUUACCACACUUAGACCAGGGUUAACUUAAACCUUGCUAUCGGAAUACGAAACUUAAACCUAGGUUUAAAUAUGGCAGUUUAUUACCACACUUAGACCAGGGUUAAGUUAAACCACGCUAUCAGAAUACGGGCCAUUGUCACCUUAACAAUUUGAAAUAUAAAUGUGAAACUUGGUGCUAACAUGUACCACUAUAGGAGAUGAUCUGGAUAUAUUUUGGAAUAUGUAGCUCGAAAGUAAAUUUGUGAAAUUCAGGUAAUAUCUUUGUUAAUGCAAUGUCACCUUAACAGUAUGAAAUAUGGAUGUAAAACCUGCUAGCAUGUAUCACUGGGAAGAGGAUGCAUUGAGUAGUGUAUGUUUCAUUGACUGUUUUUGAAAAUUUGACUCGAUGUCUCUAAUCUUCAAAUUAAAGGUCUAGUCCACCCCAGGAAAAUGCUGAUUUGAAUAAAUAGAGAAAAAUCAAACUAGCAUGAAAUUUUAAAGUUUCGCUUAUUUUCAACAAAACAGUGAUAUGCACAACUAGGUGAGCCAAUGAUGUCACUCACUAUUUCUUUUGUUUUUUAUUGUUUGAAUUAUACAAUAUUUCAAUUUUUACGAAUUUGAUGAUUAGGACCUCCUUGCCUGAAGCACAAAAUGUUAAAAUAAUUGAAUUCCACGUGUUCAGGGACGAAUGAAACUUCAUUUCACAUGACAAUGACGAGAAAAUCAAAAUAUUUCAUACUUCAUAUAAUAAAAUACAAAAGAAAUAGUGGGUGAGUGAUGUCAUCAGUUCCCUCAUUUGCAUACCGACUGAGGUGUGCAUAUAAGCGUUUUGUGAAAUGAAGCAAAAAUUUAAAAUGUCAUAACUUUCUUAUUUUACUUCCGAUUUUGAUGAAAUUUUCAGUGUUAUGCUUGUUGAAUUUUUCUCUUUUUAUUCAAAUCAAGGUUUUUUUUUUUUUUUUUUUUUUUUGGGGGGGUGGACUUGUCCUUUAAUCUUGCCAUAUCUGUGUUACCUCUGUGUGAAAAGUACAUUAAUUUAUUUAGUUUAUUCAGGGAUUUUUUUUUGUAUAUACAUAUAGUCUUUCUACCUUGUCUUCUCAGUCAAACCAAAUCUUAUAAGAUCAACAGCAAAAAAAAAAACAGUUUUCAGGAGUAUAUGACAUCAUUCUGCAUUCCAUACUUAAUUAAGCUUGACAUAUCUGUGCUAACUCUUAAUUUAUUUAGAAUAUUUAUGAUUGUUUAAUGCCUCCGCCAACGAAGUGGCCGGAGGCAUUACGUUUUCGGGUCGUCCGUACGUCCGUCCCGUUUUGUUUUGUCGAAAUCUCAAGAACCGUGGAGUGGUUUUACAUCAAACUUGGUAUGAGGGUAUAUCCUGGGGGGAUAAUACUUUGUUUUGAUUUUAUGGUCACGGGUGAAAGGUCACAGAGGUCGUUAUAUACCUUAAAAUGUCCUGUUCUUGUGAUAACUUAACCAUUGGAGCUAAUAACUUCAAACUUGGUACAUUCUUUAUAUACAUAAUAGAGGGAGAAUGAUCUGAUUGGAUUUUGGGGUCACAUGGUCAAAGGUCACAGAGGUCAGUAUGCCUUAAAAUAUCUUGUUCUUGUGUAACUAAAGGAAUGUUAGAGGAAGUAACUCCAAACUUGGUACAUAUAUGCUUGAUAUAGGGGGGGGGGGUAAUUUGGGGGGGUUGCAGGGCCAAGUUCAAAGGUCAUAAAGGUCAUAUACUUACAACUUUUUUAUCCAUUUAGUAAUUUUCUUGUGUUUUAUGAAUACUAAAAAUUAUUUUCAUAUAUCAAGUUUGAUUGUAGGUCAGUGUAUGCAUGAAAUUGUUCUUGUGAUAAACCAAAGACUUCGAUAGAUCAAUUUCAAAUAUGGACAAUGCAUACAUUAUGACAUUGACUUGAGAAGUUCAAAGGUCUAAGAGUUCAUGUCUCUUGUCACAAUUGCUUGUAGAUUCAAUAUUAAUGGUUCUUGGAUGCAUAUAUGAGAGUGAUCAAUAUGAUAAUAGAAAAUAUCAAUCAAGGUUUUCCGUUGGGUAGAUUUAAUUUUAUUGAAUAAUUUUUGCCUUAUCCAAAUAUAAGUGAACACCAAAUGUUCAGGCCAGCUAUGGUAGGAAUCGAACUCACGAUCUCCUGGUUACUAGACAGGCGUCAUACAACUAGACCACCAGGAAUUAAGCCCGAUGGCUAUUGGCUGCUAUUAUGUGAUAUAUCAACACAGUACUGUACCUGCUGCUAUUAUGUGAAUCAAACCGACUACCAGCCAUCGGGCUUCUCGGUGGUCAAGUGGUAUGACGCCUGUCUGAUAACCAGAUGGUCGUGGGUUCGAUUCCUACCCGAGCCGGCCUGUAAAAUUUUUUCUUAGCAGCUCAAACAUGCACUGAACAUUCAGUGUUUAUUUAUGUUGGGAUAAGGCAUAAAUUAUUUAAUAUAAAAAGAAUAGAACAAAUUUGAAGAUUUAUGGGAAAUUACCUGUGCAACAUAUUUCUGAUCUAGUGGCAAUGGCGGAGGCAUACAUUUCGACUGUGUGCAGUCGAGAAUCCAUCUAGUUAUUUUCUUUUGUUUUUUGUAUAAAGUCUUUCUAACAUGCCUUCUUGGCCAAAUCAGUUAUAUGAAAUCAGCAGUAAUAAAACAGUUUUCAGGAGUACAUGUAUACAUUCCUUACUUAGUUUAGCUUGCCAUAUCUGUGCUAACUGUUUGUGUGAAAAGCACAAAAUUUAUAAAGAAUGUAUUAACAUUUAUGUGGGUUCUUUUAUAGAUAUGUAUUCAAACCUGCCAUGUAUAAAGACUUGCCUCUUUUGUCAGCUAACUUGGGUAAUGUUUCCAGAGCUGUACAUGUAGUACUGUAUUAGAUGUGUUUGACUUUAUUUUUAUUAAAAGUUUUCAUUGCGUUGUUCUUAA